GAGGGUAUAGCUCAGUAGUAGAGCACGUGCUUAGCAUGCAAGAGGUCCUGGGUUCAAUCCCCAGUAACUCCA
rnacentral:tRNA from 1 species